rnacentral:lncRNA from 1 species
CAUUUUAUUUUUAAGUCUUUUAAUAAUCAUUGCUUAGCAAUUUUUCUUUAAUUUCUCCCCCUUUUUGACAUCAUCAAACAUUGUUAACUCCCCCUCCUUUUUUGAAUACAUUUUCUCUUUAGAGUUUCUUCAAACUUCUUGUGCUAAUCAUUAAUGUUUACUCCCCCAGAAUACAGCAAUCAUAAAACAAAAUAUGCCAUUGAGUACCAU